rnacentral:lncRNA from 1 species
UGGAGAUGUCUAGCCAGGAUUCCACCUCCGUAGGAUCUUUUCGAUACCAUGCAUCGCAGUAGGAAGAAAGAAGAAAUAAAAUAGAAACAUAAUCAAAUAUGUGGAUCAGUCAAAUGACUCAUCUCUAUGGGGCUUGCAAGCUUCACUAUGAAAAGAAAAAAUUACAAGAAGAGAUCACACUCUCAACCCUUAUACACCUAAUCUCUCUCUCACAAG